CUGGACUGAGGCUGGCGAACAGGAAGCAGAAAGGGCUCUACCCGUGCUGUGGGCAAGAGCAUCUCAUGCAGAAGAAAACUCAAGCCCCACAGGGCGUGGAUUUAGGAGCUGGAGGAACAGAUGGACAAGAUUUCUGAUUCAAGCUCCAGAUCAAUUUUUGCACUGACAGGUACUGUUGUGUUUUUUCGACUGUUCUCCCAUUGGACAUCUUUUGUUAGAUAUGGGGAAAAGGAGAAAAUUUGCAAAGUCACAUGGCCAGAGCAUGUGCAGAAGAAGAAAUCGUGGCCUGAAAUAACCAUGGAACCCAAGAUUCUCCUCCCCAUGGAACCAAAGGACCAGGACAUGACCAGAACUUAAAGUCGGACUCUUAUCAAAAGCCAGGGGUCCAGGAAGAUCAAGUGUUAAAAUUCCUUCCCCACCUUACCAUAAAUGUUUAGAACCUCAUCAUAAAUGUUUAGAACCUUACCACAAACGCUUGAAGCCCACCAAUCAAAACUUGUCCUGCCAGCAUUUCCACAUACCAGCCCUUUCUCCCUCAUCUCUUAAGUUGCACCCCAAAUCCUGAAUCAGGGAGACAGACCUGAGGGCACACACCCCCUGUAUCCCAUAUCCCUGCAGAUCAAUCUCACAGAAUAAAG
rnacentral:lncRNA from 1 species